UCUCCAACGCAAAAGCAGAAAACAACAAAAAUUGUGUUCGUUUGCAGUUUGUUUAUCAUUCCUUUGAUGUUUUGUCGUUUUUUAAUUGAAAUAAAAAACCCUAGAUUUGUUUGUUUGUUGUUCGUCAUCCUCGUAACGCCAAAUCGAAGAACUUCAAUAUCAAACAACAUGGUGCGCAGACGUAAAAAUCUGGGUAAUUAAUUCUUUUUUAUUUUUCCAAUUUUUUAGAUGUUUUGAUGAUGAUUUAAUGACCCAUUGUUGGUAUGUUUAUCUCAGGGGAAAAAAAUGUUGAUAUUGGACCAUCGAUCUGAGGUAAUUAUUCACACAUUUAAAGGUUUCGAUUUAUAUUUUGUAUGAUUGUUUACCGUAUUUUUUACAUUCUUGUUUGCAUUUUUUUUUCAGUCGGUUGUUGAUGUUUAUUUGUUGUCGUUUGCGUUGUUAUUUGAUAUUUGCAUUUUAUUGUGUAUUGUUGAACCAUCGUGUUUUUGUUUUUUUGUUGUUCUUGUGGUAUGUAUUUUGUUGUUCUUGUUUUCUUUAUUUUGUGGAUGUUCAUGUGGCCUGCUAUUUGUUUGCAGUUUGUUACUUGUUUGCAAUUGAACCAUCAUUUUCUUGUUUGCAGUGGCAUGUUACACUUUGAAUUUCUUAUUUGUAAUUUUCUAUUUGAAAUUUUCUUGUUUGCAGUUACUUGUUUACACUUUGAAUUCUUUGUUUGUAUUUGCAGUUAUUGUUUUUAAUUUGCUAUUUUUUGUUCAUUUUUGCAAUUUAUUGUUUGCAAUUGAAAGUCUUAUUUAGUUUUAUUUUGUGUGUACUAAAAUAGCUACGUCAAAGAAGAAAAAGAAACAAGGCAUUAAAUGACUCUUCGACGUCUUCCAAAUGAGAAAAAACAAGAGCAAAUUAGAUUUCAAACAAAGUCCUCGCAGAACAAGUUGUUACAGAAGAUCCA
rnacentral:lncRNA from 1 species